GUUUGGACAAUGGGGGAAACCCUGAUCCAGCCAUCCAGCGUGUAUGAUGAAGGCCUUCGGGAUGUAAAGUACUUUUGGCAGAGAAGAAAAGGUAGCUCGUAACACGAGAUACUGCUGACGGUAUCUGCAGAAUAAACACCGGCUAACUAAGUGCCAGCAGCCGCGGUAAUACGUAGGGUGCAAGCGUUAAUCGGAAUUACUGGGCGUAAAGCGUGUGUAGGCGGUUCAGAAAGAAUGAUGUGAAAUCCCAGGGCUCAACCUUGGAACUGCAUUUUUAACUGCCGAGCUAGAGUAUGUCAGAGGGGGGUAGAAUUCCACGUGUAGCAGUGAUAUGCGUAGAUAUGUGGAGGAAUACCGAUGGCGAAGGCAGCCCCCUGGGAUAAUACUGACGCUCAGACACGAAAGCGUGGGGAGCAAACA
rnacentral:rRNA from 1 species